UCAACUUGCUCCUCCACGUCAAUACCGAGGUUUUUUGACAAUUAAUGUUAUGUUAAUGUAAAUAAAGGUUUUUUCCUCUAAUAAAGUGAAAUAAAUCCAUGCAAGUGGAAAUUGAAAGGGAAAUAUGAAGCUUCCAUCCAAUAGAUUUUCAACUUUACGUCAAUAGAAGAAAAGGUUGUGUGAUGCAAUUUGUUGUGGUUUUACAUCCUUCUGCAGGAGCAUAACUGAAUAGUACCAAAGUCACGAGGUUUUCCUUCUUCGUUCCUCCUCACUACAAGAAAUCUCCCCCCUUCCCCCACUUCCAAGUGAUGCUAUUUUGUACUUUUGCAUGAGUCUGUGCAAAAGGUUGAUUAGGUUAGAUGUAAUACUAAGAAAAGGACUCGAAAGGAUCUGCAUAAUCUUUAAAGGAUAUAUUUCAUCAUCAAAUUCCCUUCAGAAGGAUUCCCCCUGUCUUCUUCUCUCCACCCCUUGAACCAUGUUGGAGCCAAGUUCAAGUGAGGAAGAAGAUGAGGACGUACUUGCAAGCCAGGGAUACAAUAAUGCUUCAUCUAUGGGAAAAGGAGGUCCUGGAGGGAUUUCAGGGCCUGGGGGCGGACAUCUUGAAGUUCCAAAUUCAUCCUCCACUGUUCCUCGAUCCAAUAGUCCCAUGUCAACUUUGGAGAAUGGGAGUGCCAAGUCAUCAACAACUCCGGGUCAAGGGAAAACAGAUCGAAAUGGAUCACCCUCUCCUAGUUUGACUUCAGAUAAACACCUCACAGAGGCAGAACUUAACGAAAAACACGAGAGGGAAGAAGAGGAUCGUAAAAUGCGGAUACAGCUCUACGUUUUUGUACUUCGAUCCAUUGCCUAUCCCUUCAAUGCCAAGCAGCCCUCGGAUAUGAAUCGACGUCAUCUCAAAGUAACCAAGGAUAAAUUGGAUAAGAUGAAAACCCAGGGAGAAGCAUUUCUACGGGGUGAAACGCAGAUCCCAUCAGAUGAUGCUUUCCAUGACACUGUUCAAAUUUAUAUGGAUGUGUUUUUAAGAAGUGAUAGAGUUGCUCAAAUUGUGAAUGGAGGAGCCUUAAGUCAGCAUGAUUGUCGGGAGGUUUUCAGACAUCAGAUUGAAAAGAGAAUUCGUACCCUUCCAGAAAUUGAUGGUCUAAGUAAAGAAACUGUGGUUACAUCCUGGCUCGCAAAAUAUGAUGCCUUAAUGAAGGAUGAGGAUACGAGAAGACCUGGACAAAGACCCUCCACUGCCAUGUUAGGAAAUGAGAUUAUGACAAAGGAACAACUCUAUGACUUGUUUCAACAAAUCCUCAAUGUCAAAAAAUUUGAACAUCAACUUUUGUACAAUGCAAUGCAAUUGGAAUCUACUGAUGAGCAAGCAGCAGCCAUUCGACGAGAACUAGAUGCUAGGCAAGAAAAGGUUACGGAGAUGGAAAGAAAUCGCAAAUUAAUGCCCAAAUUUGUGCUGAAAGAGAUGGAAAUCCUGUAUAUCGAGGAAUUAAAUAGUUCCAUCAACACUCUCAAGUCCAACUUAGAAUCCUUGCCAGUUCAAAAAGGUCCAACCUCCGACUCUAAAUUAGGUCUUCCUAAAUUUAAGAAAAAGAGAUCAUCCGUACUAAGUCGAUCGUCUACAUCGAUAUCUCGCAAUGAUGAAGACGAACCUGUCAUUUCCUCGCUUUCCAAAUCUGAUGUUGUUCUUUCAUUUCAAAUUGAGGUCGUAGUGCUCGAAGUUAGAAAUCUUAAAUCGUUGCCCUCCACACGCGUUAUUUAUUGCACAAUGGAAGUCGAUGGUUCUUCCAAACUUGCUACAGAUCAAGUUGAAGUGAGCAAACCCAUGUGGGACACUCAAGGAGACUUUACAACAACCCAUCCCUUACCAAUAGUUAAAGUCAAAUUGAACACUGUGAAUCCGGGUAUGCUAUCCCUCGAUGAUAAGGAAAUGGGACGUGUAAUCAUACAUCCAACGCCCCUUAGUUCCAAGGCCCCAGAGUGGUAUAAGCUCGAAACUGGAAAAAAUUCUCCAGAUAAGGAAAUGAAAAUCAAAGUGGCUGUGAGAAUGGAUAAACCUAUGAACAUGAAGCAUUGUGGAUACAUGUAUGCCAUGGGAAAGUCCGUUUGGAAAAAAUGGAAAAAACGUUAUUUUGUUUUAAUUCAAGUGUCACAAUACACAUUUGCAAUCUGUUCGUAUAAACCAAAGAAGUCGGAUCCAGGGGAAAGGAUGCAGUUGGAUGGAUACACUGUUGAUUAUAUUGAGCCUGCCGGAGCCAUGUUUUUUCACAUGAGUGCUGGGAAGACAAAAAAAAUCGCGGAUUUGGAAGGUGGAAAGUUUUUCUUCAACACGGUGAGAGAGGGAGACUCUGUUCUUUUCGCAACUGAGGACGAGUCUGACGCGCAUAACUGGGUUAUGGCCUUCUACAGAGCAACAGGUCAAGCUCAUAAGCCCACGCCACCCGUUUCAACUGGGAAAUCUAUAUCUCCAGCUGCUAAGGCUCAAGGGGCGGAUGCUGAUCGGGCACGAAAACACGGAAUGGAAGAAUAUAUCGCAGCAGAGCCAAUUACAUAUGACCAUGAUAAACACUUUUCAUAUCUACAAGCUAAAGCCUUAGAUUGGAGGUUAUUAGAUCCUUUUGCAUCACUGGGUUGGUUCACACCUGGACAAAUAUUUGUACUAGAUGAAUAUUGUGCUCGUUAUGGAGUUCGUGGGUGCUUUCGACAUUUGAAAUAUAUCACUGAUUUACUUGACCGCUCUGAGAAAAAUAUUUUAAUUGAUCCUAAUCUGAUACAUUUUAGCUACGCCUUUUGUGCUAGCCAUGUUCAUGGAAAUAGUGUUCCGAGUAAUCCCAUGGGGGAUAUAUCUCAAGCUCUUGUGAGCAACCCACAAUCACUUGAGCCAAACAGAUCUGAUGGAGUUGGAACUGUGACUCAGGAGGAGAAGGAAACUUUUAAUGAAAUCAAAGAGAGACUUCGAGUCUUACUAGAGCAUCAAAUCACAAAUUUCCGCUUUUGUUUCCCUUUUGGACGACCCGAAGGAGCUCUGAAAGCAACGCUUUCUUUACUUGAAAGAGUACUCAUGAAAGACAUUGCAACUCCUGUACCCCAGGCUGAGGUAAGAGGUGUGAUUAAAACAUGUUUGGAAAAUGCGGCUUUGGUCAAUUAUGAAAGACUCUCAGAGGAAGCAAGGAUUGAGGCUGACUUGAAUAGUAAUCAAGAAGAGCUCAUUGGAGAGAUCAUUAUUCCUCCUAGUAAAAAAUUAGAGGAUCUCAUUCGCCUUACGGAGCAUUGUGUUGAUUUGCUGAGGCAAAACGAGGAAUUUUAUGCGGAGUUUCAAAAUGAACCGGCUUUUGCUUGGUUCUCUGAUUUAUUGGUUGAGCAUUCAGAAAUAUUUUGGUCUCUCUUUGGAGUGGAUAUGGAUACAAUUCUGGCUGAGCAACCCCCGGAUACAUGGGACUCAUUCCCUCUUUUUCAAAUCCUGAACGAUUACCUUAAGGAAGAUGAUAAUUUAAAGAAUGGAAAGUUUCAUAAGCAUAUUCGAGACACCUUUGCGCCUCAAGUUGUACGAUAUGUUGAUUUGAUGGAGUCCUCCAUCGCACAAUCCAUUCAUAAAGGAUUUGAAAAGGAACGAUGGGAGAUCAAAGGAAAAGUGCCCAGGCCCUGUGUUGGCAAGCCAAGCAAUGGUUGUGCUACAUCUGAGGAUCUUUUUUGGAAAUUGGAUGCUUUACAAUCCUUUAUUCGUGAUCUUCAUUGGCCUGAUCCGGAGUUUGCAUCACAUCUUAAUUCUCGUUUAAAACUAAUGGCCUGUGAUAUGAUAGAAUCCUGUAUUCAAAGGACGGAUGCCUCAUUCCAAAAUCAUCUGAAGAAAGGCAUACUAUUGAAUCCAACGGAUUAUAUUCUUCCUUCCGAAAUAUGUGCUAUGGUCAAUGUAGUUAUUGAUGCAAAAAACCAAUCCUACAAAUUAUGCUCUGUGGAUGGAAUGGGGGAUAAAUCUAAUGAUGACUCCGGAGAUAAACGAAAGCACAAAUAUCAUACAAAAAUAGACGAAAUCAUCGAAAGAACAUUGUCGAGUAUGAAAGUUGGUUUAGUUUCAAAAUUAGUUUCCGUUCUAGAGAGUGUUUUGUCCAAAUUGGGACGCUAUGAUGAAGGGAGUGUGAUUGGAUCCAUUCUAUCAUUUACGAAUAAGCAUAAUGUAACGGGUACUGGCUCAGACCUUGGUAAGCAGUACAUGUCCUUCAUCCGUGCAAAUAUGGAUCAAAUAGCAAAGAAAAUAUCCGAUGAUCUUUGGGUUCUGAAUGUCAUGGAAAGAUGGCAUGGAGAGCAGGUUCAAAUGCUUUGUACGUGGUUGACUGAUAGACUCGAUCGCUCACUUCAUCCCUAUCAAUGUACUUGCCUUGCUCAUAUUGUCAAGACUAUUCGAGGAGAAUCCGAAGCUAUUGGUGUAUGCAAGAAUAACCUUAAAACUCGUCUAUAUCAAUCUGUUGUGGAGCGACUCACAACAGAGUACCACCAAUUAGCAAAAAAAGGAAAAAUAGAGCUUGCAAAUCCCCUUCACUAUGGUGGACCUCAAAACACAAACUCAUCUACUUCCUCUGGAUCAACCACCAUUACGACCGUAUCCACUCCUGUGCAUCAGUAGUUUCCUUUCUCCUUAGUAACAAAUAUAGAUUUAUAUUACUUUAAUUUUUAAACUAAAAUAUACAACGAAUACGAGCUCCAAGGAGUCGAAGAAGAUAAACUUAAUUCUCAACAUUGGCAAGCCAUCACUCAAAGAAUGACAA
rnacentral:misc_RNA from 1 species